rnacentral:rRNA from 1 species
CAGCCGCCACGGGAAUACGGAGGGAGCUAGCGUUGUUCGGAAUUACUGGGCGUAGAGCGUGCGUAGGCGGUUCGUUAAGUCUGUUGUGAAAGCCCCGGGCUCAACCUGGGAAUGGCAAUGGAUACUGGCGAGCUAGAGUGUGUCAGAGGAUGGUGGAAUUCCCGGUGUAGCGGUGAAAUGCGUAGAGAUCGGGAGGAACAUCAGUGGCGAAGGCGGCCAUCUGGGACAACACUGACGCUGAGGCACGAAAGCGUGGGGAGCAAACAGGAUUAGAUACCCCUGUAGUCCCUGUCUCUUAUAC